ACACCCCGUGCCCCUUACAAACAAAACGACACGACCUUUUUCCCUCCCUCUCUUUUCUCCUUCUUCCUCUUCUCCCUGGGAAGCCAGCCCUCCCCCACUCAAUCUCUAGCAGCCACGUUGAGCCUCCCCUCGAGCAGCCACCGUACCUCCAGCCACUCCUGCUCCCCUCGUGCAGCACCAGCAGCAGCAGCCGGGUUUCACCCCACUAACAGCAACCACAAGUUGCGUUUGAACCCAGUUGUGGUGCCGCCAGCAAGCAGCCGGUUCUUGUCCUCCCUCCACAGUCAACGAAGCUGCUGCACCACCUUUGCCGCCACUUCAAUCACCACUUCUUCACCUCUUUAUUUUUGGUUUAUUGAAGAAUCAAGUUAGGGUUUUUGAUUUGGGAAAAAUUAGUGAAUUGAAGUUCAAGAUUGAAAGUUGAAAGGUCCUUCAAUGGUGAUUGAGGAGGCGACGUCAUCGAGUAACCUUUCUAGUUGAUAGCUGCAAAUCGAUCACGGCUCUUUGAAGCGUCUUGCUGUUUGAUCGCAGAUCGGAACCGGUCGGGAACGAUGGGUUAACGGUGUUGAAUAGCGUUCCAAGGAUGUAUAUUGAGCUGAGCACGUAGGAAUUUGUAGUUUUGUAUUAGGUUUUUGGAUAAAUGUAUAUUUUUUUUGGCUGUGCUGGUUAUAUCGGACUUGUAGAGAAUUAUAUGAUUAUCUUGUGUAUUAGUUAGAUGUUGGUUUUGGGAUUUAGCUGAGUUAGUCACGUUGAAGAGCUUGUGACCCAUUUUGCUUGAGUUUUGGAAGUGUGAUUUCAGUUUCUUGGAAAAUGAACCCAGUGAUUACCCUGUUUACCCAGUCAACGGUGAGUCGGAUUGUUACAGAUAUACGUUGAGAAACUGUUAAAGCAAGUGCCAAUAAUCUUAAUAACGACGUCAACUUUAAACAUUUAAUCGAACAUGCUUUGUCUUGUACUUUAGAGGGGGUCGAUAAAGAUGUGUCGAAUAUGGGUGGUUUAAGGUUUGGAACGGUUGAUAAGAGUUGUUUGAUCAAAGCAACAAGAAGAGAAACAGACUGUGAGCGGCUCGACCAGGCGCUCGACCGAGCUAUGUCUGGCUCGACCGGUCGAGCGGUGUUGGCUCAGUUGAGCAAGAAGUCCAGAACAAGUGAGUAGCUUUCCUGGAAGCACGCUCGACCGAGCGAGGUAGUGGCUCAGGUCGAGCGGAAGUUCAGCAGACUACUUUGGAUUCUGUUUUGGUCAGAAUUUGUAGUGUCUAUUCAAUAAUGUGGUGCAUUACUCUAUUGUUUAUUGUAAUGUUUAUUGUCAUAGUUAAUUAGAAUGUUAAUUGAGAUGUUACAUGUAUAUUUAUGGUGAUUUAUGAGGGAAUACUAAGAGUGAUGAAUAUCUUGCCUAUAAAUAGGAUUCAUCACUCAUAGUAACAUUCACCACAAACACACAUAUUGUUGAGAGGGCUAUUGCAUUGUUAAAAACUUGAGAGUGUUCUUACUUUGCUUUAGUAUUUGUGAUCUUGAGAGAUUGUUCUCAAGAUAAGGGAGGUUUAUUAUACUUGUAAUUGUUGAAUUCAUUAUAAUAAACUAUAUUUGAGGGGGAGGUAUUCAAGAUACCUUAUAAA